AUGCUUUAUUUAACUGCGCCGCUACCUUUAAUUAUUUUAUUGCCUCGUAAAAAUGAGACACUUCGCAUUAAUGGUGUCUGACCAGACUUGUUUUCAAAUUAAGAAUUGAUCUAGAAUUUUCAUAAAAUGCUAACUAAAGAUACUGUACGUCAAAAAAUACUUGUACCAAUAUAAUUUGAAAUUGGUGGAAAUUUGCCUUGGAAUCAAUUCAAAUAAAUUUAGAGUAUAUUUAAGAAUAUAACUAUAGACACUGUACGAGUCGUAAAAUACUUGUACCACUGAUAAUUCGAAAUUGGUGGAACUUUGCCUUGGAAAUCAAUCCAAAUAAAUUUAUUGUAUAUAUAUAUAUAUAU